AACGAACGCUGGCGGCAGGCUUAACACAUGCAAGUCGAGCGCCUCGCAAGAGGAGCGGCAGACGGGUGAGUAACACGUGGGAAUCUACCCAUCCCUGCGGAACAACUCCGGGAAACUGGAGCUAAUACCGCAUACGCCCUACGGGGGAAAGAUUUAUCGGGGAUGGAUGAGCCCGCGUUGGAUUAGCUAGUUGGUGGGGU
rnacentral:rRNA from 1 species